rnacentral:rRNA from 1 species
UACGGGGGGUGCGAGCGUUGUCCGGAAUCACUGGGCGUAAAGGGCGCGUAGGUGGUUUGAUAAGGGUGUGGUGAAAGUCCGGGGCUCAACCCCGGAUCUGCCGUGCCGACUGUCAAACUCGAGGACUGUAGAGGCAGACGGAAUUCCGGGUGUAGCGGUGGAAUGCGUAGAGAUCCGGAGGAAGACCGGUGGCGAAGGCGGUCUGCUGGGCAGUUUCUGACACUGAGGAGCGAAAGCAUGGGGAGCGAACAGG